rnacentral:rRNA from 1 species
CAGUCGCCGCGGUAAUACGAAGGGGGCUAGCGUUGUUCGGAAUUACUGGGCGUAAAGCGCACGUAGGCGGCUUGGUAAGUUAGAGGUGAAAGCCCGGAGCUCAACUCCGGAAUUGCCUUUAAGACUGCCGAGCUAGUAGGUGAGAGAGGUAAGUGGAAUUGCGAGUGUAGAGGUGAAAUUCGUAGAUAUUCGGAAGAACACCAGUGGCGAAGGCGGCUUACUGGCUCAUUCUAGACGCUGAGGUGCGAAAGCGUGGGGAGCAAACAGGAUUAGAUACCCCCGUAGUCCCUGUCUCUUAUAC